UACGUAGGGUGCGAGCGUUGUCCGGAAUUACUGGGCGUAAAGAGCUCGUAGGUGGUUUGUCGCGUUGUUCGUGAAAACUCACAGCUUAACUGUGGGCGUGCGGGCGAUACGGGCAGACUGGAGUACUGCAGGGGAGACUGGAAUUCCUGAUGUAGCGGUGGAAUGCGCAGAUAUCAGGAGGAACACCGGUGGCGAAGGCGGGUCCCUGGGCAGUAACUGACGCUGAGGAGCGAAAGCGUGGGGAGCGAACAGG
rnacentral:rRNA from 1 species